rnacentral:lncRNA from 1 species
AGCAAAGAGGGAGUGAGAGAGAAGACCGAGUAUUAGAGACGAAAGAGAUGAGAGCACGUUCUUACCUCCAUUGCUUGCCACACAGCUGGCUUCUUGCUGGAUAAAGGCUUUGCCCAUGGGACAGACGCUGAUCCAAAGGCUGGCAGAUUCCUCUUCUCCCUGCCCUGUGAGAAACAGCUUCGGGAAACCAGAGAGAGUUGCAAACCCUAGAUCAAUGUCUCUUAUCAGCUCUCAGCUUCAGGAGCCUACUCAGCCUAAAACAAUCAGGUGCUGGCCUCAUCCACCCAGGUGAGGAACUGGAUGGAGCCCGACUUCUGGUUUCUUCUUUGCUGUUCUGUGCAGUCAAAACUCUGGGAUCCAGGGAACAGCAGUUAAUGACUCUUUGGGGCCCAGAAUUGGAGCUCCUUGGUGGCAUUUGCAUCCUCUUUCACCAGAUGACUUAGGCAGCGCUUCCUGACCUUUGUCAUGCUGUAGUUCUCAUAGAAAAUGAAACUUUUUACAGCCACUGCAGUAAAGAACCAAGGCUGCCUCUGGCCCCUGAGGCCAAUAUUGGCCCAACUGGAAUCCACUAGAGGGCUGCACGUUGGCUAGGAAGCUCUGACUGAUGGCAUGGGCUUCCCUGCCAGGGCUCAUGGUGCAUAGGCGAAGGAAGAGGGGCGUGAUCUCUCUCAGACGCUGAGAAUUAUUUGGGUUGCUCAUAAUUACUUGGCCUAGGGUCACCCAGAAAGUUACUGAAGACAAGAGAUGGUAUCCAAGAUCCCUAGCGGCAGGGACUGAAUCUCACUCAUCUUUGUCUCCGCAGUGCCUAGCACUGUGCCCGGCCCCAAGCAGUACUCAGUAAGAACUUGUGGACCCAAUUCAAGUGUCCUAGUUGGUGAUUCUGAUGGAUGAUUGAUUGGAGUAGGAGUCUAAUCCACUUUGUCCUUCCCACCUGGUCCUUUUACUUCUAUCCCCAUGACCCCCGACUCUCCUAACCCUCACAGCACAGGAUGGGGGGCCUCUUGACCACCAGAAUUCCAUUUUGCGGCGGGCGCAGCGUUCCCGGUCUAGGCCUUAGCUCUCUCAUUUCAAUGAGGGCAACAUCUACGGAGAACUCCCGUGCAUUCUUGGUGGAAGGAAACAAACUUGAGACUUGGAUUCUGCUGUCAGGCAGCAGACAGUUUAAUGAGAAGUGUGGAAUGAGGCUCAGUGGAAAUAUCACAUAUAAGACAUGAUGCACGUCCAGAGGAGGUACAAGCAGGAAGUUCCAGUUGAACCCGUUAGCACUGUCCACCCGGGACUGUGGUGCCUGGCCUAGGCCUAGGCCUGCCCAUCGCUUGUUGUCUGAACAAGGAACCCUGGAGGGAGAGGUGGAAGGCAGAAGGAAGCCCUGGACAUACACUGGAUCCCACAUAGACAUUUGGGCACCUACCAGAAGACAUCGCCUUCUUACAAUGCAGAACAGACGAUGCACUGUCUCAGGUCACGCUUAGCCUCCUACGGGGGCACGACAGAAGAAGAGGAACAUUUAGAGAGGCACAGCUCCUACAUCCUUGGAUGGGGAGAGUGGGGAGCAAACAGGCCAGGAGCCUACUGUGAUCAGAGCUGGGGGAGCCAGUGUGAGCAGCAGGUGCAAUGAAAGGAUGUGGGAGUUUGAGACCCAUCUCUGCUGUGUGGCCCUGGCCAUGUGCAGUGGGGUUUCAAUCUGACCUCACUCAGAAAACGGAGCCACUUGCUUAGAGUCCCUCUCUCUGAACACGCUCUCCCCUCUGGAGGAAAAGCAUUGCAAUCCCAAGCUCCUGCUGCUGCCGUACAUCUGCAUCUUAUUCAUCUUUGAAGCUCCUGCAAUGCCUCCAACGGGGACACAACUAAAGGAAGCUCUCAGAACGCCCAGCUAUCCCCACUGCAGAAGGCUCUCCCUGAAAGGGCACAGGUGGAGGACGUUUGCAUUUAUCUGGAGACAGUUCAUGGAGAAACACAAAGAGGUGUCCUGACAAGACAACAGGUCCACAGCAGUCGUCAUCAUGAGUGCUCACCAUAUGCCAGGGUUCAUCUUUUAAAAUCCUUAACCAAACAACCAAACUGUGGUUGGGAUUAUUCUCUUUUUAUAGGUGAGAAAACUGAGGCUGAAAGCCAUUGGGUGGUUUGCCAAAGCUGAGAAGUAGCUGAGCUGGGGUUUGUACUCACACCACGGUGACUCGGAGGCCCAAGCCAGUUCUGACACACUGCCUUCCCAUGACAUUCCCACGACAGGUUCCCGAGGUCGUUGGAAUGCUUACACAUUUCAGCAACUUCAUGGCAACUGCCCAGCUCGACCCAGAAGAUAAUACUACCUUGUACUCCCCCUGCCGCUUCCUUCCUCCAGGCAGCUCACAGACAUGACCUCAUUCCCUCUCCCAGAGUCCCAUAGGGGUGAAGGACAGGGUGGGGAUCGUUAACUCUGCUUCCUAGGGAGGAAAGGGAGGCCCAGAGAGGGAUGCUGGCCCACCCUGGGUCAUCCAGCCAGCUAGCGGGAGAGCUGCAACUGGAAAUCAGGCUUCCCUGCCCUCGGGGACAGUUAUUUAGCCUCCUGGAUGUGAGCUAGAAUCACCCCUAAGAUGCAGCAAUUGGGGUACUCCUCUUGGGGUACUGGGACUCAGUGGCUGAAACAGCUCCAAGAGAGUUGGGCCUGUGCUGAAAACAGAAAUCCGAGAUGCAUAUAAAUUCAAUCCGUAUGAGAAGAGCAGGGUGGCCUGGGAGGAGUGGUCACCGCAGUGGCUCCACCUCCUACCCGGCCACCUGCAGCCCUGCCUGGGCUGCUCUUGGUCUCUCUGUGCCCAGCUUCCCUGGCCGGAUGCCCUGGGGGCCAGAGCAGCCGCAGGUGCGAUGAAAAGAACACUGGCCUUGAGGUCAUGGGACCUGGGGAGGAUAUUCACCAGGGGCCCCUAAGUUAGUCAUUUUAGCUCUCAGCUUUUCCAUUUUUCAUUCAAAAAAUGGGGACUCUAACUCCAUGAAAGAGACAUUGUGUGUGAAAUAUUUCAUCAUAAGCUGUGAAGCCUGCAAAGAAACUCCUGGUGUUCUCUGUAGCCUGAUUUCAUCUCUACUAAACGCUAUUUUGAAAAUGAUUUUGAAGCUGGUGGGUCACAUAGAAGGAUGGCCUGAGCAUCCAUCCAUCUUCCCUCCGGUGACCCUUUCACUUCGUGUCUGUGGUACCCAGUGCCUGGUACUGAAUGUUCCUGGGUGGCCCCGUGGUUCGGCAAACUUUCUGGAAAGGCCCAGGUAGUAAAUAUUUGAGGCCUGGUGGGCCACAUAUGGUUUUGGUC